GACGAACGCUGGCGGCGUGCUUAACACAUGCAAGUCGAGCGGAAAGGCCCUUUCGGGGGUACUCGAGCGGCGAACGGGUGAGUAACACGUGAGUAAUCUGCCCCUGGCUUUGGGAUAGCCACCGGAAACGGUGAUUAAUACCGGAUACGACCACUUCUCGCAUGGGAUGGUGGGGGAAAGUUUUUCGGCCAGGGAUGUGCUCGCGGCCUAUCAGCUUGAUGGUGGGGUAAUGGCUCACCAUGGCUUCGACGGGUAGCCGGCCUGGGAGGGUGGCCGGUCACACUGGGACUGAGACACGGCCCAGACUCCUACGGGAGGCAGCAGUGGGGAAUAUUGGACAAUGGGCGGAAGCCUGAUCCAGCAACGCCGCGUGAGGGAUGACGGCCUUCGUGUUGUAAACCUCUUUCAGCAUGGACGAAGCGCAAGUGACGGUACCUGCAGAAGAAGCACCGGCCAACUACGUGCCAGCCGCCGCCGUAA
rnacentral:rRNA from 1 species